UACGUAGGGGGCUAGCGUUGUUCGGAAUCACUGGGCGUAAAGCGCACGUAGGCGGAUUUUUAAGUCAGGGGUGAAAUCCCGGGGCUCAACCUCGGAACUGCCUUUGAUACUGGAGAUCUUGAGUCCGGAAGAGGUAAGUGGAACUGCGAGUGCAGAGGUGAAAUUCGUAGAUAUUCGCAAGAACACCAGUGGCGAAGGCGGCUUACUGGUCCGGAACUGACGCUGAGGUGCGAAAGCGUGGGGAGCAAACAGG
rnacentral:rRNA from 1 species